rnacentral:rRNA from 1 species
CAGGAUGAACGCUGGCGGUAUGCUUAACACAUGCAAGUCGAACGAAAGUUUUUAUGCUUUAGUGGCGAACGGGUGCGUAAUACGUGAGAAUCUGCCCUUAGGAGAAGAAUAACUGCUGGAAACGGCUGCUAAAUCUUCAUAUGCCGAGAGGUGAAAUAGUUUACACUGCCUAAGGAUGAGCUCACGCCUGAUUAGCUAGUUGGUAAGGUAAUGGCUUACCAAGGCCACGAUCAGUAGCUGGUUUGAGAGAACGAUCAGCCACACUGGGACUGAGACACGGCCCAGACUCCUCCGGGAGGCAGCAGUGAGGAAUUUUCCGCAAUGGGCGAAAGCCUGACGGAGCAAUACCGCGUGAGGGAUGAAGGAUUUUGGUCUGUAAACCUCUUUUCUCAAGAAAGAAGUUCUGACGGUACUUGAGGAAUAAGCAUCGGCUAACUCCGUGCCAGCAGCCGCGGUAAUACGGGGGAUGCAAGCGUUAUCCGGAAUCAUUGGGCGUAAAGCGCCUGUAGGUUGUUUAAUAAGUCUGUUGUUAAAGACUAGGGCUUAACCCUAGAAAAGCAAUGGAAACUACUAGACUAGAGUAUGGCAGGGGUAGAGGGAAUUUCUAGUGUAGCGGUGAAAUGCGUAGAUAUUAGAAAGAACACCGGUGGCGAAAGCGCUCUACUGGACCAUUACUGACACUCAGAGGCGAAAGCUAGGGUAGCAAAAGGGAUUAGAUACCCCUGUAGUCCUAGCCGUAAACGAUGGAUACUACAUGUUGUGUUUUAGUACAGUAUGGUAGCUAACGCGUUAAGUAUCCCGCCUGGGGAGUACGCUCGCAAGGCUGAAACUCAAAGGAAUUGACGGGGGCCCGCACAAGCGGUGGAGCAUGUGGUUUAAUUCGAUGCAACGCGAAGAACCUUACCAAGGCUUGACAUACUACAGAUUUCUUUGAAAAAGGAAAGUGCCUUCGGGAAUGUAGAUACAGGUGGUGCAUGGCUGUCGUCAGCUCGUGUCGUGAGAUGUUGGGUUAAUCCCGCAACGAGCGCAACCCUU